AUUGAACGCUGGCGGCAGGCCUAACACAUGCAAGUCGAACGGUAACAGGAAGACGCUUGCUUCUUUGCUGACGAGUGGCGGACGGGUGAGUAAUGUCUGGGAAACUGCCUGAUGGAGGGGGAUAACUACUGGAAACGGUAGCUAAUACCGCAUAACGUCGCAAGACCAAAGAGGGGGACCUUCGGGCCUCUUGCCAUCGGAUGUGCCCAGACGGGAUUAGCUAGUAGGUGGGGUAACGGCUCACCUAGGCGACGAUCCCUAGCUGGUCUGAGAGGAUGACCAGCCACACUGGAACUGGGACACGGUCCAGACUCCUACGGGAGGCAGCAGUGGGGAAUAUUGCACAAUGGGCGCAAGCCUGAUGCAGCCAUGCCGCGUGUAUGAAGAAGGCCUUCGGGUUGUAAAGUACUUUCAGCGGGGAGGAAGGGAGUAAAGUUAAUACCUUUGCUCAUUGACGUUACCCGCAGAAGAAGCACCGGCUAACUCCGUG
rnacentral:rRNA from 1 species